CUCAAGCUGACAGGAUAGCUCAGCCCUGGAGGUAUCCCAAAUACCUUGACUUGCUUAGUACAGAUCAUCCCUGGAGGGGAAGGUCUCCCAGAUACCUCGAGCUUCUAGGACAGCUCUGAUGGCUGGAUCUGCAAUGAGACAGCUCAGCCCUGGAAGGGAAGGUAUUCUGACUGCUCAGGAGAGUCAGGCCUGUAGCUGCUAGGACAGUUCAUCUCUGGAGGGGAAGGUACCCUAUCUGCUCAGGAGAGUCAGGCCUGGAGCUUCUUGGACAGCUCAGCCUGAAAGGAAUAACGGAAAUACCCAUCUUCCAAAAAUCAUAAGGCCUCAGAUAUCCGGAUGUUUACAAAAGGAAGAAAGAAUCUGUUGGUACCACUUUACACAUGAUCUGUUGUAUCCUAGGAUGGCCACAAAUGCUAUGUGAGCUGGAAAUUGACACUGUAUCUUGGGUCUUCUCAAGUCUCUUCCUCUUGAGUUUUAGUAUCACAGAUGGAUGCCAUCACAUUUGACUUGGCUUUUAACUUUUCUUUUGAUGUGCAUAGGUAUGUUAGUUUAUGAUGGUAUGGAUACAAAUGUGUGAAUAUUGUUGUUCUUCUGCUAAAAUUAGAGUGCAGAA